UCAGUCGACUCCUACGGGGAGGCAGCAGUGGGGAAUAUUGCACAAUGGGGGAAACCCUGAUGCAGCCAUGCCGCGUGUGUGAAGAAGGCCUCGGGUUGUAAAGCACUUUCAGUAGGGAGGAAGGUAGUGUAGUUAACACCUGCAUUAUUUGACGUUACCUACAGGAAGAAGCACCGGCUAACUCCGUGCCAGCAGCCGCGGUAAUACGGAGGGUGCGAGCGUUAAUCGGAAUUACUGGGCGUAAAGACGCAUGCAGGCGGCCUGUUAAGUCAGAUGUGAAAGACCCGGGGCGUUAAACCUCGGAAAUUGCAUUUGAAACUGGCAGGCUAGAGUCUUGUAGAGGGGGGUAGGAAUUUCAGGUGUAGCGGUGAAAUGCGUAGAGAUCUGAAGGAAUACCAGUGGCGAAGGCGGCCCCCUGGACAAAGACUGACGCUCAGAUGCGAAAGCGUGGGGAGCAAACAGGAUUAGAUACCCUGGUAG
rnacentral:rRNA from 1 species